rnacentral:rRNA from 1 species
CAGGAAUCUUCCGCAAUGGGGGCAACCCUGACGGAACGACGCCGCGUGCGGGAGGAAGCCCUUCGGGGUGUAAACCGCUGUUCGGGGGGACGNAAGGGGAUGACGGUACCCCCGGAGCAAGUCCCGGCUAACUACGUGCCAGCAGCCGCGGUAAGACGUAGGGGGCGAGCGUUACCCGGAGUCACUGGGCGUAAAGGGCGUGUAGGCGGCUGGGUGCGCCGCGUGUGAAAGUCCGUGGCUCAACCGCGGGGGGUCGCGCGGGACGGCCUGGCUUGAGGGCGGGAGAGGCGGGUGGAAUUCCCGGUGUAGCGGUGAAAUGCGUAGAGAUCGGGAGGAACACCGGUGGCGAAGGCGGCCCGCUGGCCCGUCCCUGACGCUGAGGCGCGAAGGCGUGGGGAGCGAACCGGAUUAGAUACCCGGGUAGUCCACGCAGUAAACGAUGCGGGCGAGGUGUGGGUGGAGUUGACCCCAUCCGUGCCGGCGCCAACGCAGUAAGCCCGCCGCCUGGGGAGUACGGCCGCAAGGCUA